rnacentral:rRNA from 1 species
CGAGCGAAGCGGGAAGAGCUCAAAUUUGUAAUCUGGCGUCCUCCGGGCGUCCGAGUUGUAAUCUAUAGAGACGUUUUCCGUGCCGGACCGUGUCCAAGUCCCUUGGAACAGGGUAUCAAAGAGGGUGACAAUCCCGUACUUGACACGACGACCGGUGCUCUGUGAUACGUUUUCUACGAGUCGAGUUGUUUGGGAAUGCAGCUCAAAAUGGGUGGUAAAUUCCAUCUAAAGCUAAAUAUAGGCGAGAGACCGAUAGCGAACAAGUACCGUGAGGGAAAGAUGAAAAGCACUUUGGAAAGAGAGUUAAACAGUAUGUGAAAUUGUUGAAAGGGAAACGAUUGAAGUCAGUCAUGUCCAUUGGAUUCAGCUGGUUCUGCCAGUGUAUUUCCUUUGGACGGGUCAACAUCAGUUUGAGCCGACGGAUAAUGGCAGAGGGAAUGUGGCACCCCCGGGUGUGUUAUAGCCCUUUGUCGCAUACGUCGGCCCAGACUGAGGAAUGCAGCUCGCCUUUAUGGCCGGGGUUCGCCCACGUACGAGCUUAGG